AUUCAAUUUCCCCAAGAGUUCACAUCGACGGGAAGGUUUGUCACCUCGAUGUCGGCUCUUCGCCACCUGGGGCUAUAGUAUGUUCCAAGGGUUAGGCUGUUCGCCUAUUAAAGCGGUACGUGAGCUGGGUUCAGAAUGUCGUGAGACAGUUC
rnacentral:ncRNA from 1 species